GCCCGUGUAGCUCAGUGGAUUAGAGCAUCGGUCUUCGGAACCGAGUGUCGUAGGUUCGAUCCCUACCACGGGCACCA
rnacentral:tRNA from 1 species